AACGAACGCUGGCGGCAGGCCUAAUACAUGCAAGUCGAACGAUCCUUCGGGAUAGUGGCGCACGGGUGAGUAACACGUGGGAACAUACCCUUGGGUGCGGAACAACGUCGGGAAACUGACGCUAAUACCGCAUAAUGACUCCGGUCCAAAGAUUUAUCGCCCAAGGAUUGGCCCGCGCUAGAUUAGGUUGUUGGUGAGGUAACGGCUCACCAAGCCUACGAUCUAUAGCUGGUCUGAGAGGAUGAUCAGCCACACUGGGACUGAGACACGGCCCAGACUCCUACGGGAGGCAGCAGUAAGGAAUAUUGGACAAUGGGGGCAACCCUGAUCCAGCCAUGCCGCGUGAGUGAAGAAGGCCUUAGGGUUGUAAAGCUCUUUCAGGUGCGAAGAUAAUGACUGUAACACCAGAAGAAGCCCCGGCUAAAUUCGUGCCAGCAGCCGCGGUAAAGUAGACGU
rnacentral:rRNA from 1 species